AUACGGAGGGAGCGAGCGUUAAUCGGAAUUACUGGGCGUAAAGCGCGCGUAGGCGGCUUUGUAAGUCGGUUGUGAAAGCCGUGGGCUCAACCUGGGAAUGGCAUUCGAUACUGCAUAACUAGAGUAUGGUAGAGGGAAGUGGAAUUUCCGGUGUAGCGGUGAAAUGCGUAGAUAUCGGAAGGAACACCAGUGGCGAAGGCGACUUCCUGGGCCAAUACUGACGCUGAGGUGCGAAAGCGUGGGGAGCAAACAGGAUUAGAUACCCCGGUAGUCC
rnacentral:rRNA from 1 species